rnacentral:rRNA from 1 species
GACGAACGCUGGCGGCGUGCUUAACACAUGCAAGUCGAACGGAAAGGCCCUGCUUUUGUGGGGGGCUCGAGUGGCGAACGUGUGGGUAACACGUGUGUAACCUGCCCUUGACUUUGGGAAAACGUCAAGAAACUGGGGCUAAUAGCGGAUAUGAGCGCCUGCUCCGUGGUGUGGGUUGGAAAGUUUCGGCGGUUGGGGUUGGACUCGCGGCUUAUCAGCUUGUUGGUGGGGUAGUGGGUUACCAAGGCUUUGACGGGUAGCCGGCCUGAGAGGGUGACCGGCGACAUUGGGACUGAGAUACGGCCCAGACUCCUACGGGAGGCAGCAGUGGGGAAUAUUGCACAGUGGGCGGAAGGCUGAUGCAGCAACGCCGCGUGCGGGAUGACGGCCUUCGGGUUGUAAACCGCUUUCGCCUGUGACGAAGCGUGAGUGACGGUAAUGGGUAAAGAAGCACCGGCUAACUACGUG